GAUGAACGCUAGCGGCAGGCUUAAUACAUGCAAGUCGAGGGACAGCACAGGUAGCAAUACUGGGUGGUAACCGGCAAACGGGUGCGGAACACGUACACAACCUUCCUUUAAGUGGGGGAUAGCCCAGAGAAAUUUGGAUUAAUACUCCGUAAUAUAGUUGAAUGGCAUCAUUUGAUUAUUAUAGCUACGGCGCUUAAUGAUGGUUGUGCGGCUGAUUAGAUAGUUGGCGGGGUAACGGCCCACCAAGUCUACGAUCAGUAGCUGAUGUGAGAGCAUGAUCAGCCACACGGGCACUGAGACACGGGCCCGACUCCUACGGGAGGCAGCAGUAAGGAAUAUUGGUCAAUGGACGCAAGUCUGAACCAGCCAUGCCGCGUGAAGGAUUAAGGUCCUCUGGAUUGUAAACUUCUUUUAUUUGGGACGAAAAAGGGCCUUUCUAGGUCAACUGACGGUACCAGAUGAAUAAGCACCGGCUAACUCCGUGCCAGCCGCCGCCGUAAGAC
rnacentral:rRNA from 1 species